AAUAAAGAUGUCACGGACUUACUCGAUAAGUCGAUCCCAACUCCUUAGGCUCGAAGAACUUGAGGAAGAAAAACUGGCACAAAACUAAUUUAAAGAAAAGCUCAAAGCUUCAAAUUUGUUAAUUCUCAAAGUUGUUAUUACAAAGCUUGAACUUAAGCCUUUACAUAGGCUUUUAUUUUCUAUUUCUACUUGCAAUAUGAUUUAAGAUUCCUAUCCAAAUUAGAGGAUUUAAUUUAACUAGAAUACAAUUACUUAAAUAAUAAAAUAACAU
rnacentral:lncRNA from 1 species